GGCCCAGAUCGUUUACCGUGAAAAAAUUAGAGUGUUCAAAGCAGGCAGAUCCAAUUUUCUGCCACCGAAUACAUUAGCAUGGGAUAAUGGAAUAGGACCCUGUCCUCCUAUUUUCAGUUGGUUUUGGCAGCGCGAGGACUAGGGUAAUGAUUAAUAGGGAUAGUUGGGGGCAUUAAUAUUUAAUUGCCAGAGGUGAAAUUCUUGGAUUUAUGAAAGAUUAACUUCUGCGAAAGCAUCUGCCAAGGAUGUUUUCAUUAAUCAAGAACGAAAGUUAGGGGAUCGAAGACGAUCAGAUACCGUCGUAGUCUUAACCAUAAACGAUGCCGACCAGCGAUUAGGAGACGUUGAAUACAAAACACCACCGUCGGUGCGGUCGUCCUUGGCGUCUCGGUCCUUCACGGGGCCGGGGCGCGGGGGUGGCUUAGCCCGGUGGCACCGGUGAAUGACUCCCCUAGCAGCUUGUGAGA
rnacentral:rRNA from 1 species